GGAUAUGAGGGCGAUCUGGCUACAACAUCUGUUGCCCCAUUGAUCGCCAGGGUUGAUUCAGCUGAUCUGGCUGGUUAGGCGGGUGUCCACUUCCUCCCUCACCGCUGCAGGUGCGUCCCUCCCGAAGCUGCGCACUCGUGAAGAGGAUGACCUUUCCUGAAAGAGGACUACCGUUCUUCUGUCAAGGGUAUACGAGUAGCUGCGCUCUCCCGCUAGAACCUUCAAACAAGCUCUAAUGAACAUUUAACCAUGCUAGGUCUCUCCGUCUUUUAGACAAUCUUAUAUCUAU
rnacentral:snRNA from 1 species